GGAUCAACUACCUUCAGUCUUCAGAUGUUCAGCAGCUCCAGGAUCUGGUGGAGAGUCCAAACUCCAAACUGCAGACUCUGAGGUGGAAGUGGAAUGACUGAUGUUCCUCCUGGAGGAGCAGAGAGGAGCAGCAGCAGCAGCUGGUCUGCAGAGAUGUUGUGACUGGACGGUGUUCCUGGGAGGUGGAGAGCAGAGUGAUGGAGGAAUCAGAGGAAGUGGAGAUGAGUGUCAGAGCUGCAGCAGGAACUGAUCUGAGAUCAGCUCCACUGUCUCUCUCAGCAUCAAGUGGACAGUUAUUGUGCUGCAGCUCCUCCGGUGGACUGAUGGAUAACUGCACUUCCUCUUCUCAUUCUAACUUGGAGUGUUGAUCUGAAACAUGGGUUGGAUUCACAUGUUCAGCAGCUCCAGGAUCUGGAGAAAAACAGACCUGCAGACAAACAGAUUCUUUUCUAGAUCAUCACUUUCUUCUUUGAUCUCCAUUUGAUGGACAGAUGUGAGUUUGGGAUGGACCAAUCAAGGAUUGAGGGAAUCAUUGAUCAGACAGAAUAUUUCUGGAUGACAAAGAUCUAUGUGUGGGUCAGGCAUUGGAUCCUGGUUCUGUCUCUGGAACAGGGACAGAACCAGAACUCUGGAUCACUAGAUUCUGGUUCCAGAUGUUUCACACUUGAUUUCUGUUCUCCAGAAACUCUCAUUGACAAACAAACACAGAGUUUCAUUCAGAAACCUCCAACAUGGUCAUGUGACCAGAAUGUUCAUAGUGGAGACACGGACAAACGCUGUGGUCACGUGACUCACUGGUUUGGAUUCAAGUCCUCUGAAGUCAGUUUUUGGAGCAGAAAUCCCGUCUGAUCUCAGUUAGUGAACAAAAGUCUCUCAGUUGAAUCACUUUUCUAUCAUCUCUGUUCUGUUGAUGAUCAAAUAUUGACUCAUGCAGUUUGAAAGACUCAGAGUUUUGCUUUGAUUGAUGUUUUCCACAGUUUUCUGACUGAACUUCCUAUUUCUUUUCUUUUUUAAACUUUCUUUUUAUUGCUUUUGUAACACAGUUAAAACAUACAACAAAAAGCAGAGGGAACAGUAAAAAUAAGUUCACAAAGCAAAACGACAAAAAACAAGUAAUACCUUGGGUUGCCUUUGAUCUAUAGGUUUUUAACGACAUUGUUCAUGUAUAAGUCCUUAUAAUAUCGUUUUGUAGUUAGUCCAUUUCUCCCAUCUUUUUAUGACAAAAGUCUUCUUGAGUUCUUAUCCUAUGGUUCAACAAUUCCAUCACAUAUUUUUCUUCCACAUUUUUUCCCCAUUUCUGCUGUGUUGGUGAAUCUGUCAUGUACCAUCGUCUCGUGAUUGUUUUCUUGCCUGCAGCUAGAAAAAUUUUGAAUAAAUAUCUGUAAUUUUUGGUACAUUUUCUAAAAUAUUGCCCAGAUACAAAAAUAAACAUGUUUUUGGUAUAUUGUAGCCCAGGACCUUGGUUAUAAUCUGGUAAAUAUUUUCCAAAAGGGACUAGCUUUGGGACAAGACCAAAAAAUGUGGGACUGAUCUACGUUUAUGUCUCCACAUUUUCUCCAACAUGGCUGGGGCACCGAAGUGUUUCCUCGUGUACUUAGAGCAAAUCUUCUGACUACUCAACGUUGGUUUCGAGUCCUUCCUGCAUUUGGAUUUUUCAGUUACGAGAAGUAACAAACAGUUUAUAUAACACAGCUGUGAGGAUGGAGA